CUGUUUAUGGCCCGACGCGUGCUACCUCUCCCGAUGCGCUGGUGGAGGAGGCUAUGCUCAGAGGAGAGGAGGCGGCGGAUUCAAGAAUCGGCGGCUGAUGGAGAUGCUACGCCGUGGGGAUCGAGGAGAGCGACAUGGAGCGCGGUUGCCAGCACAAUUUCUCCCCUUGAUCCGCGUCAGCUUGGGGAAGUGGAGAGCAACAUGGAGAGGCGGUGACCAUUCUUCUUCGCCUUGUAAGUCGGAUGGACGACGGUGACGAUUUGCCCCGCGACCGGCACGGCGGGACGCUGCCUAGCGGGCGACGAAGCCAUUGCAGAGAAGGCGGUUCGCCCCCGGCGUAAAUCAUCUCCCUUCCACCGCGCCCUAAUUGCUUUCCGAGCCCUAUGAGUGCGCUUUGUGGUGGUUGUGGUUGUCGCCGGCGCCUGGAGGGGCCGGUUGUGGGAGGUUCGGCAGUGCGUGUUUUGGCCCGUGAUUGGCCUUCAGUUCCUAAGCGGAGUUGUGGUUCAGUUUGCCGUUCCUCCUGUUCUGCCCACGAUUGAUGCACGCCGAGUCUCCUUUCCACCGUCAGUCUCCACACCACAGCUGCUCUCUUGGAAUAGGGAGAGGUGCUCCAACUCCAGCUCUUGCAGAUCGUUGCCGCUGCCGCCUAGAUCCUUCCUGAGCGGUGGCCCUCGACCCGGCCGUCUGGUUCGCCGUGUGGGCGCACAACCACCAACAACGCUGGCGGCCGCUCCGGAUCUGGGGGCACUGCUUUGCCUCGGCCUCCCCCGCCUCCACCGAUGGCGCCGCUGGUAAGCGCUGCUGGCCGGCCGGCGUUCCCACUCCUCAACUAUCCCUCGACCUCAUCCGUGGAGGCCUGAGGCUGCCUCAGCUCCUACCGCCCCCUGGUGACUGCGGUGAAGAUCAAGGCUAGGUCAAGCCUGCACCGGCUUCAAUCCAAUUCAUGCCCACAGGAUCAUCCCUCUAAUUGCUCACUUCGGGUAAUCUAUUCCUAGAGUAAUAAAGUGCCCUUUAUAGAAAAAAAAAACUAUUCCUAAAGGAGUGCAAUGUAACCUCGGGUUGUUGAGCCUAUGUUAUUCAGUGAAAGAUGGGGCAAGUGUAUGUAUUGCUCCAUCAAUUGGAGGCAACGGUUAUAGAAUAUAGACAGAAAUAUUUCAAUUGAAGGCAUUGGGUAUAGGAAUAAGUAUUUGACCAGUACUACCAACAUAUGUUGGCUGUAAUUCAACUGGUGGGGACUGGAUUUUCUCGAGGUGCAGUUUCAUGUGAAACUUUAUUUAAACUAUACGGAUUCAAGCUGCUAGACUGCCUGCCAGAUGUUCGAUGAAAUGCAUCAACUAUCUAACAUGGUAUGAAUAUUUUCUCUAAUUUUAUCUGCAGAAUAAUUUGAACUGGCUCUGUCGCCGUUAGAUGAUUUGGAAAUAGCACUACUACAGGAUAGUGGCAGCGGAGGAAUCCUGCAGUUGGAGUGGAGCAGAGUUGCAUGGACGGAGGGUAUCCGGAUGGCGGCGGCCUCAUGCGGUGCUUUGUGAGCGGCUAUUCCUCGGUGCCAUGCUUGGCCGCCGUUGCUCCGUAGCGACUUCAACAGGCGGUCAUCGCCGUUUUGUCCAUGCAUUCUUCUUAGGUUUUACAUUGUAAUAUGCUAUUAUUUGGUUCAAAUUAUUAAUUACUAAAACAAGUAUAUACUAUCUGCAAUUUGGAAUGUUUGUUCUUUACAUUAAGAACUUGGUGUAUAUUUUGGUUCUAGGUUCAACCACUCAACCCAUGUUCUGUUGUAGGAGAACACCUCAAAAUUAUUUUUGAUUGAUCAUUGAGGUAGAUUGUCCACUCAACCCUAGGAAAACCCACAGUAUACUAUCUGCUGAGUAUAUACCCAGAGUAUACUAUCCAGCCAACAAGUAUAACUGUCAAAUUGGAAUGGUUCUAGGUUCAACCACUCAACCCAUGUUCUGUUGUAGGAAUAGGCUGCUCUCGCCAAUGGCAGUCAUUCUGCAUUGUGCCACAUAAAACUGCUGGUGUUUUUUUUUUCUGAAAAGAACUAUGAUCCGAGUAUACAUCAAUAUCAGAGAUCUAGAAAAAAAAAUUCUGUUAGUUGUGAAUUUUUAACCUAAUUUUACUAUGGGCAUGGUUUCGCUACAUUAGCUUAUUUCCUUUUUGUACGUUCCAGACAUGCUACCAGAAGAUAUUCUCAUGAUCAUUUUAUGGUGAUCCUGUGCAUGUUAGCUUUCUGCUAUUUAAGUUUAAAAGGUUUCAGUAUUUAUUAUGGUAAUUGUGUCAUCUUGUGUUCUGAUUUUUCUUUUGAAAAUUCUUCGUUUCUAUGAUUUAGACAUGUAAGGGAGAUGCUGGUUGGCUAUAGUUUUGUCUUCUCAUUUGCUAGGUUCAUGAGAUUUGAGUUUGUUUUGUUCAUACCCACAAGUACGCACAACGAUAGGAAAUAAAUCUAUUUGGGUAUCUGCAAUAUAAUGAUGACAGUAAAAUAUGGCGUAUCUACACCUUUUUAUUAAAUGGUUCAGCUUCAGAUAAGAGGUUUGCCCUCUAACUUAAGUUCAGCCCCUAUGAUUGAGUACACAUCAGAGUUCUUUUGGACCAGUAAAACCAUAUUAUACAGUCACAACUGACAGUAACACGAACCUUGACAAAGGUAUCACUACAUACAUGUUGAUACAGCUCAAAGUGCUGACCACUUCGUUUAGGCGACACAGUGCUUAUUUUCUAUCUAUGAUGUACCAACCUGAAGCCUUCUGUUGCACAACAAUGUUGUGUUUUCCUUUUGACAGAGUUGUGUUCCAUACUUCCAUUUCUCUGGACUAUACUAUAACCUGUUAUGUGUAUUCUGAAUCUUAGUCUGUUACUUCUGUACAGCACGACGACCCCCAAAUGGCCUCCUCCCCUGGCAGAAGACCCGGCGGUACCAACUACCAUGGAUCACUUCGCGGUGGUGGCGGGUGAUACAGGACCGAUGCACGCGUACGAGGUGGACCUGUAUCAUGAAUGUUGAGCGUGAGAUGGUAAAGAGGAUCAUUUGAUGGCAGCCUUCAGCAAGGUCUGCCCUCUACUACGUCACUUCCUCCUGCCGAUGUUGUGGCCUUCAAGAUGUUACUGCAGCGCUUGGCUUGCUGUUCCUGCUAUUCUGUCCAUGAUCUCUAGGUUUCCACCUUUUGCUAACAUAACUCUCCUACAUAGUAUUAAUUUCAGUUGCUUGAUGGUAGGAACAUACGGGUGCACUACGUGAACCGCGGAUGAUCUUCUGCUUUUGUCGACAUCGGUAAGAUGCCUAUUCGAUAUUGUUUCUACGAUGUUAAUCAUGUAUGUUAAACCGUGCAUAGUGAGCAAUUGGUGCCCUCAUCUUAUGACUUGAAUAUGUCAUCAAAUCCCACGAAAAUAACUAUCCACACGUAAGUGUAUUACGUAUUAUGCAGCAUGUUAAAUCAUGUAUUAUGUAUGUUAAAUUUGUAAUGUUUAACAAUUCAUGCCCCUGAUCCUAAAACUUGAAUGUGGCAUCAAUUCCCUCGGAAUAUAUCUGCCCAUCCAAUAUUUGUAUUGUGUACGAUGCAGCAUGCAUGCCAUAUUGUAUCUAUUCAGACUGCCACUGGCUCUGCAAAUUAGAGCUUACUUUUGAAGAACUUAUUUAGUGGGGAGCAGUAAUUAGGGUAAUUUUACCAAUAGGGGAGUGUAUUAUUCAAGCCCACAUGAGUCAGUAGAGAUUCACAAUGGAGAGAUAUACUGUGAAUCAUCUCAUAUUUAACUCAACCACCCAAUCAUAUAACACAAGAGUAGUCGGAGAGAAUGCCUUAUGUAUAUGGCCUACAGCAUACUGCCUUCUAGGAACCAGAUUAAUAUUCAUCAUUUAGCAUGGCAGUAACAAAGAACAAGAACCAUAAUACGUACUAUUUAUUGUCCAAUUUUUUAAUUUACAUUAUCAAGCAAGCAGAAUAGUAUCCAUGUGAUAGCAUAAAGACCCUCACAAAACAAUUUCUGCAUAAAGGUUAGAACAGUUAAAAAUAAAAUGUUGCAUGGAACGCUGAAGGGCCUUAUAUGUUUUACUUUUAGGUAUGAAGUCCGUGUCCUCCUUAUUUUUCGUUAUUAUUGUCUGAUUUCCGAUACACUCUCCAAUGCACAUUCGUUGUGUUGAGAGUCUGAUUGUUAAAUGAAAUGAUAAACAUGUACCCUGGAAUUUUGUACUUACAUGAUCAUGGCACAUACUCUAAGUCCAGUCUUAAACUUAUUGCUUACAACCUUUUAAAAAUACGGUUUCUUGCAUGCAAAGGAACAAACGAAAAUAACAGCAUUAUCUAGGAGAUUCUGCUUCUUUUAUCGUAGAAUGAUGCAGGGUUUCAUGCCAUUACAUCUGACAUUUUGGUUGCUUCCGGGAGUAAAGAUAUCUACUUGGGUUUUCUCUCGAAGAUUGCAUUUUCCUUACAUAAUCCAUUUAAAUUUGGAGAUUCUCACUCACUGGUUCAUGUAGAAAGAGAAUGUAAACUGUAUCCACUUUUUCUUGGAUCAUUUGGGAUUGCUGAAUGGAAAACACUUUCAAGGCACAAAAUCUAUGAGAAUCAUGACAAGUAAUUGUACCGAAAAGGAUUACUGUCCUAUCUGGCAAUCUGUAUUGAAUUAAUUUAAGCUAGAACUGAGAAACAAGUUAGCUUAAAAAAAAAAACAAAUAGUUAUUUCGUGCUCAAGUAUUCCUAAAUAGCUGAACAGAUUGAGUUCAUUGCAGUAAAUUUCUUUUGAAAACCUAACAUUGAUGAUGCAAGUUUCAACUGGACCAUAUCAGCUUAUUAUAGACAUUCUUACACUUCGAAUGCAAGUUGGAAAUAAUUAUUUCCCGAAGGACAACUACAGUUGCUGAAUGAGAUGCUGACUGGAAUCUCCAAGAAGCAUAUUUCUUUUCAGUUGUUCUCCUAGCUGGAAUCUCUAGAGAUGCUGACUGGAAUCUAUAAUUUUUGUGCUAUUUUGUACAAGCCAGAUUGGGUGGCCCAGUUUAUCCAUCCAUACACACACAAAAUUACCAGAGUAUUUGAAGUUCGUUUUGGUAGCAAUGCUAUGUCCGUAGGCUGAUCAAUCCUUCAUCUUGGUAGCUAGCUCUGAAUAAGAUCAGUGGUAUGUACGGAAGAAGUUCGUUCUGGUAGCAAUGCUAUGUCUGUAGGCUGAUCAAUCCUUCAUCUUGGUAGCUUGCUCUGAAUAAGAUCAGUGGUAUGUACGGAAGCCUUUUGUAAUCAUACAUUUUGUCUGUAUGAAUGACGUGCUAUGUAAUCUGUCUAUAGUGUUUGGUCAUGCACUGCUUAAAGAUUAUGAUGAGUCCAACCAACAGUUCUAUGUAUGAUUAUUCAUAUCCUCUGUAUUUGCACUAUGUGUAAACUGGGUAGCCCAGCUGUUUAGUGAUGUUUACUGUUCUUCCA